UGGAUGCUGACGAGCGGCGGACGGGUGAGUAACGCAUAGGAAUCUACCCGGUAGUGGGGGAUAACCUGGGGAAACCCAGGCUAAUACCGCAUACGUCCUACGGGAGAAAGGGGGCUUAGGCUCCCGCUAUUGGAUGAGCCUAUGCCGGAUUAGCUGGUUGGUGAGGUAAUGGCUCACCAAGGCGACGAUCCGUAGCUGGUCUGAGAGGAUGAUCAGCCACAUCGGGACUGAGACACGGCCCGAACUCCUACGGGAGGCAGCAGUGGGGAAUAUUGGACAAUGGGGGCAACCCUGAUCCAGCCAUGCCGCGUGUGUGAAGAAGGCCCUCGGGUUGUAAAGCACUUUCAGCGAGGAAGAACGCCUGUCGGUUAAUACCCGGCAGGAAAGACAUCACUCGCAGAAGAAGCACCGGCUAACUCCGUGCCAGCAGCCGCGGUAAUACGGAGGGUGCAAGCGUUAAUCGGAAUUACUGGGCGUAAAGCGCGCGUAGGUGGCUUGAUAAGCCGGUUGUGAAAGCCCCGGGCUCAACCUGGGAACGGCAUCCGGAACUAUUAGGCUAGAGUGCAGGAGAGGAAGGUAGAAUUCCCGGUGUAGCGGU
rnacentral:rRNA from 1 species